AUGGAGACAGUAUUAUUAGCUGUGUUGUUCCUGAAUGGCCUGAGCUACCUGGUGUUCAAAGGCAUCGUGAAGAAGGGCUACAAAGUGCCGACACCCAUCCAGAGGAAGAGCAUCCAGGUGAUCUUGGAUGGCAAGGAUGUGGUGGCCAUGACCUGCACUGGCAGUGGCAAGACCGCCUGCUUCCUCCUUCCCAAGUUUGAGUGGCUCAAGACCCACCGCUCAGACUGGGGCCCAUGCCCUCAUCCUUUCGCUCACCUGAGAACUGGCCCUGCAGACCCUGAAGUUCACCGAGGAGCUGGGGAAGUUCACUGGCCUCAAGACUGCCCGGAUCCUGGGUGGAAACAGGAUGGAAUAUCAGUUUGUAGCCCUGCAUGAAAAUCCCAACAUAAUUAUUGCCACUCCCAGAUGGCUGGUGCAUGUGGCUGUGGAAAUGAACCUGAAGGUGCAGAGUGUGGACUAUGUUGUGUUUGAUGAAGCCGACUGGCUUUUUGAAAUGGGCUUUGCAAAGCAGCUGCAGGAGAUUAUCACCCACCUCCCUGGGGGCCACCAGAUGAUGACGUUCUCCACCAUGCUGCCCAAACUGCUGGUGGAAUUUGCCCAGGCAGGCCUCACGGAGCCCAUGCUCAUCUGGCUUGACAUGGACGCUAAGCUCAGUGAGUAGCUCAAGACCUUCUUUCGUGCAGGAGGACACCAAGGCUGCUGUGCUGCUCCACCUGCUGCACAACGUGCUGCAGCCUGAGGACAAGACUGUGGUGUUCGUGGCCACGAAGCACCAUGCCGAGUACCUCACCGAGCUACUGACGACCCAGCAGGUGAGCUGUGCCCACAUCUACAGCGCUCUAGACCUGACAGCCCGCAAGGUCAACCCGCCAAAUUCACGCUUGGCAAGUGCUCUGCCCUCAUUGUGACUGACCUGGCCACCAGGGGCCUGGACAUCCCACUGCUGGACAAUGUCAUCAACUACAGCUUCCCUGCCAAGGGCAAGCUCUUCCUGCACUGCAUGGGCCAUGUGGCUCGAGCUGGCCAAAGUGGCAUGGCCUAUUCCUUGGUGGCCCCUGAUGAAAUACCCUACCUGCUGGAUCUGCCUCUGUUCCUGGGCUGCUCCCUCACCCUUGCCUGGCCCCUCAAGGAACCCUCAGGUGCAGCCAGUGUGAACGGCAUGCUGGGCCAGGUGCCACAGAGCAUGGUGGAUGAGGAGGACAGUGGCCUGCAGAGCACCCUGAAGGCUCACUGGAGCUAGGGGCCUGGCAAGCAUGGCUGACAACGCCCAGCAGCAGUACCUGCACUGGCGGCUGGUACCCUCGCCCGAGUCCAUCAAGAGGGCCAAGGAGCUGGACUUUUCAGGGCUGGGCCUGCACCCCCUGUUCAGUUCGUGCUUCUAGGAGGGGGAGCUGCAGUGGCUGAGGCUGGUGAACAGCAUCAAAAACUACUGCUCUCGGUCAAACAUCUUUGAGAUCAAUGCCUCCAGCCGAAACCUGUGCAGCCAGGUGAUGCACAACAAGAAGGACUGCAAAGCCAUUGCCCGCUUCCAGCAGGGAUGGCAAGGGCGGCGGGAGCAUCAGGAGGGCCCUGUAGGCCCAGCCCUGAGCCACCCAGCACUGCAGGAGAAGCAGCCCGAGGAGGAGGAGGUGGGAGAGAGUGUGGAGGAUGUCUUCUCAGAGGUCUUGGGCUGGAGGCGGCCACAGUUGGGACCCGACAGGGGAGCCAAGAGGCAGAGUGAGGUGGCCCAGCGGCUGGACCAGGAAUUCUACAUCCCCUACCGGCCCAAGGACUUUGACAGGCAGCAGGGCCUGAGCGUUGGCGGGGAAUGGGGGGCCUUCGAGCUGCAGGCGGCUGGCGCGGUUCUGGACCUGAUGGGGCAUGAAGCCCAGAAUCUCACAAGGGGCCUCCAGCAGCUCAAGUGGGACCAUAAGAAGAAGCGGUUUGUGGGGCAGUCAGGACAGGAAGACAAGAAGAAGAUUAAGACAGAGAACGGCCGCUACAUCAGCAGCUCCUCAAGAGAGACCUCUAUGAGAAGUGGAAGCAGAAACAGAAAAUUGAUGAUCGUGACCCGGGCGAGGAAGGGGCAUCGACCGGCGAAGCCCAGAGCGGAGGUGGGAAGCGAGGCCGUGGCCGAGGUGCAUCCCAGCCCCGCACCCCAGGCAUCCCUGCAGGCCGCGUCCCCCCCGAACUCAAGACCAAGCAGCAGAUUCUGAAGCCGCGGCGCCGGGCGCAGAACCUGCGCUUCCUGCGGCGAGGUGGCCUCAAGCCGCUCUCCGCUCGCAACCGCCGCCACGCCCAGGAGCUGAAGCAGGGUGCGUUCGGCCGGGGUGCCCGCUCCAAGAAGGGCAGGAUGCAGAAGAGGAUGUGA